rnacentral:rRNA from 1 species
UACGUAGGGGGCAAGCGUUAUCCGGAUUUAUUGGGCGUAAAGCGUGUGUAGGCGGUUUACUAAGUCUAAGAUAAAAGCCCAAGGCUUAACCUUGGAUUGUUUUAGAUACUGGUAGACUUGAAUACGGUAGAGGCAAAUGGAAUUCCUAGUGUAGCGGUGAAAUGCGUAGAUAUUAGGAGGAACAUCAGUGGCGAAGGCGAUUUGCUGGGCCGUUAUUGACGCUGAUACACGAAAGCGUGGGGAGCAAAUAGG